rnacentral:rRNA from 1 species
GACGAACGCUGGCGGCGUGCUUAACACAUGCAAGUCGAACGGAGUGGCAAACGGGUGAGUCACACGUAAACAACCUGCCUUCAGGAUGGGGACAACAGACGGAAACGACUGCUAAUACCGAAUACCUGAAGAGGGGUUUGCGUCUGAUUAGGCAGUUGGUGGGGUAACGGCUCACCAAACCAACGAGCAGGAGCCGGUCGGAGAGGAUGACCAGCAACACUGUAACUGUGACACGGUCCAGACUCCUACGGGAGGCAGCAGUGGGGAAUAUUGCACAAUGGGCGCAAGCCUGAUGCAGCCAUGCCGCGUGAGUGAUGACGGCCUUCGGGUUGUAAAGCUCUGUUAAUCGGGACGCGGUACCGGAAUAGAAAGCCACGGCUAACUACGUGCCAGCAGCCGCGGUAAUAC